rnacentral:rRNA from 1 species
AGAGUUUGAUCCUGGCUCAGAUUGAACGCUGGCGGCAUGCCUUACACAUGCAAGUCGAACGGCAGCACGGGUGCUUGCACCUGGUGGCGAGUGGCGAACGGGUGAGUAAUAUAUCGGAACGUACCUUAUCGUGGGGGAUAACGCAGCGAAAGCUGCGCUAAUACCGCAUACGCCCUGAGGGGGAAAGCGGGGGACCGUAAGGCCUCGCGCGAUUAGAGCGGCCGAUAUCUGAUUAGCUUGUUGGUGGGGUAAAAGCCCACCAAGGCGACGAUCAGUAGCUGGUCUGAGAGGACGAUCAGCCACACUGGGACUGAGACACGGCCCAGACUCCUACGGGAGGCAGCAGUGGGGAAUUUUGGACAAUGGGGGCAACCCUGAUCCAGCAAUGCCGCGUGAGUGAAGAAGGCCUUCGGGUUGUAAAGCUCUUUUGUCAGGGAAGAAACAGCAGCUCUAACACAGUCUGCGAAUGACGGUACCUGAAGAAUAAGCACCGGCUAACUACGUGCCAGCAGCCGCGGGAAUACGUAGGGUGCAAGCGUUAAUCGGAAUUACUGGGCGUAAAGCGUGCGCAGGCGGUUAUACAAGACAGGC